rnacentral:rRNA from 1 species
AGGGAAUCUUGCACAAUGGGCGAAAGCCUGAUGCAGCAACGCCGCGUGAAGGAUGAAGGCCUUCGGGUUGUAAACUUCUGUUCUUAGGGAAGAAGAAAGUGACGGUACCUAAGAAGAAAGCCCCGGCUAACUACGUGCCAGCAGCCGCGGUAAUACGUAGGGGGCAAGCGUUAUCCGGAAUUAUUGGGCGUAAAGAGUGCGUAGGUGGUUAUCUAAGCGUAAGGUUUAAGCGUGCAGCUCAACUGCAUCUCGCCUUGCGAACUGGACUACUUGAGUGCAGGAGGGGAAAGCGGAAUUCCUAGUGUAGCGGCGAAAUGCGUAGAUAUUAGGAGGAACACCAGCGGCGAAGGCGGCUUUCUGGACUGUAACUGACACUGAGGCACGAAAGCGUGGGGAGCAAAC